rnacentral:misc_RNA from 1 species
GAUGAAGAACGCAGCGAAAUGCGAUAAGUAGUGUGAAUUGCAGAAUUCCGUGAAUCAUCGAAUCUUUGAACGCACAUUGCGCCUUCUGGUAUUCCGGAAGGCAUGCCUGUUCGAGAGUCAUUAACAACCGUUUCGAUCCCUUUCUUUCAGAAAUUACAAAGAGGAAAAGGGUUUGGUUAUGGUGGAGGAGGGAAAGGGAGCGUUUGGCCUGUAAAAAAAGAGGCUGUGUUCCGCCUCCCCCCCAAAAUUGUACAGGCGGUCGUGUGCGCCCACGCAUCGAGGUGUUGUAAAAGCUGCCACGGCACUUUUCACCUGUGCAGUGCGAGAUUGGCCAGCCGGUUUAAAAACCCCUCCAAACAAUCAAAGGUUGACCUCGGAUCAGGUAGGGAUACCCGCUGAACUUAAGCAUAUCAAUAAGCGGAGGA